rnacentral:tRNA from 1 species
GCCUGUUUAGUUCAGUGGUAGAAUUCUCGCUUCGGGUGUUAUAACCUCCAUCUUUAGGGAUGGAUAAGUGUGAGAGGUCCCAGGUUCGAACCCUGGUACAGGCC